AGCAGCCGCGGUAAUUCCAGCUCCAAUAGCGUAUAUUAAAGUUGUUGCAGUUAAAAGCUCGUAGUUGAAUUUCGGGAUUGGCGCAUCGGUCGUGCCUCACGGGGUAUGAACUGGUGCAGUCAAUUUCUCACCUUCUGGAGAACCGCGAUGUCCUUAAUUGGAUGCCGCGGGGAACCAGGACCUUUACUUUGAAAAAUUAGAGUGUUUAAAGCAGGCAUUUUUGCUUGAAUACAUUAGCAUGGAAUAAUAAAAUAGGACGGCAUGGUUCUAUUUUGUUGGUUUCUAGGACCACCGUAAUGAUUAAUAGGGAUAGUUGGGGGCAUUAGUAUUCAAUUGUCAGAGGUGAAAUUCUUGGAUUUAUUGAAGACUAACUACUGCGAAAGCAUUUGCCAAGGAUGUUUUCAUUAAUCAAGAACGAAAGUUAGGGAUCGAAGACGAUCAGAUACCGUCGUAGUCUUAACCAUAAACUAUAGACCGACUAGGAAUCAGACGAUGUUAAUUUUUAAUGUACUCGUUUGGC
rnacentral:misc_RNA from 1 species